rnacentral:rRNA from 1 species
UACGAAGGGUGCAAACGUUGCUCGGAAUCAUUGGGCGUAAAGCGCACGUAGGCGGCUUCAAAAGUCGGAUGUGAAAUCCCGUGGCUCAACCAUGGACGUGCAUUCGAAACUGCGAAGCUUGAGUAUGGAAGAGGGUCGCGGAAUUCCCGGUGUAGAGGUGAAAUUCGUAGAUAUCGGGAGGAACACCAGUGGCGAAGGCGGCGAUCUGGGUGGAUACUGACGCUGAGGUGCGAAAGCGUGGGGAGCAAACAGG